GGCUCGCGCGCCUGACAGUAGGGGGUGGGGCCUGCGGAGAAAACGGUGGGAGAGGGGCGAGUUGAAGCGGGCUGGUUGGCAGCGGCAUUUUUGGCGUCAUCUGUGUGGACCCGUUGUAAAUUUUCCCGGGUGAGCACGGAAAGAACGAAGUCCUCAAGAUACUGUGUUAAAGAGAAAAUAGGGUGAAGGGGAACCAGCGCGGCCUCGUGUCGCCAGGAGGUCUGCCCCUACCGCCGCGAAGAAGCAGGGAUGAGGUGUGGGCAGGUUUGCUUUUGCUCCCAUCCUGGCCCAGAAGCCGUUUUAUUCCACUCGGCGAAGUGAAUUUCCCGGCGUCGCCCACGAGCGUCCCUGAGGAGCGGGCGGGCGCCCCGGCUGCACCCUCCCUCCGCGGGGCCGGGCCUGCCCUGUCGCCUGCGGCGCGCUGCUGUGGCGGUAACCAUGGGGACACCCGGGGCUGCCUGGGUCUCCAGCGUUGGCUCAGAGUCACCUCAGACCGUAGAGAUAACUCGGAAAUGCUGAACUAAAGCACCUUGCUUUGGUGAAUUUUUUUUAACUUGCCUUCAAGUAUCCGAAAACUCCAUACAAUAUAUUUAAGAUCAAGAGCUCAAAUGAAGGUUUCUUUUGGAAAGAGAUUGGUGUGAUUGGUCUGGAGACCUGUGCUGUAGUUCAGCAGUGUGGCUCCUGCUGCUGCUGAAUUGUAAACUAGGACAAAAGAUGUGUUGACCUUUGAACAACCCAAGUUUGAAAUGCAUGGAUCCACUUAUAUAUAUAUAUAUUUUUUUAAACAAACACGGAUUGAAAAUACAGUAUUUGCUGGAUGCAAAACCCAUGGAGGGCCGACUUUUUCUGUAAGUGAGUUGUGCAGAGCUGACUGAGGGACUUAAGUAUGUGGGGAUUUUAGUAUACUCUUGGGGAUCCUGGAACCAAUCCCUGCAUAUACAUAGGGACAACUAUAUUUAAAAUUUCUCCAACAGCUUUAAGGAGCUGAAAAAAAUAAAUAAAAUUUAUUUAUAUCCUGUGAUCAUAAUGUUCUAAAUGUUAGGUCAACUUGGGGGAAAUUUCUUUAUCAUUACAACAGUGUUCACCUG